AUAAAGGGCCUUCUGACUGCUGUAAAAAGCUUUUAACACAAAUACGAUGGAAAGCCACCAGAGAUGUAUGAGUGGAGACAGGCACAAUCUGACUUAUAUUUGAAAUGGAUUGCUCUGGCACUGCGGACAGAAAACUGUGUAAACGUAUUUUCUCACAGUCCUGGAGGCUGGAGUCAGAGAUCAGGGUGCCAGCCUGGCUGGGUUCUGGUGGGGGCCCUCUUCCAGGCUUGCUCAUGACUGCCUUCUCUCACUGUGUCUCUCCCGUUGUUUGAGCCACAAAAUCUGUGGUAUUUUAUUAUCACAACCUGAGCUGCCUAGACAGGAUGUUAAGACUAGAUGAUCCGGGGAUCUCUUUUGGCUCCAAUAUUGCACAAUUUGAUGUAAUAUUUGAUAAUUUCUGUCUAAUUUUGUAAAAUUUCAUGCUAGCAAUGGAACUAAAGAAGUCUUUGUUUUAGAAUAUCCUUCUGAGAGUUAGGAAUGUAGAUCCAGGCUCCUUGGCUGUUUAGCAUCUCAGGCUGCAUUGUGAUAAGGAAGCAGACAGAAGAACUGGUAUCAAAGCCAAGUGUU
rnacentral:lncRNA from 1 species